GCUUUUGGUUCAGUGGUAGAAUGCUCGCCUGCCACGCGGGCGCGGGUUUGAUUCCUGGUCCCGGCCGAUGCA